rnacentral:rRNA from 1 species
UGCCAGCGGUUAGGCCGGGAACUCAAAGGAGACUGCCAGUGAUAAACUGGAGGAAGGUGGGGAUGACGUCAAGUCAUCAUGGCCCUUACGACCAGGGCUACACACGUGCUACAAUGGCAUAUACAAAGAGAAGCGACCUCGCGAGAGCAAGCGGACCUCAUAAAGUAUGUCGUAGUCCGGAUUGGAGUCUGCAACUCGACUCCAUGAAGUCGGAAUCGCUAGUAAUCGUAGAUCAGAAUGCUACGGUGAAUACGUUCCCGGGCCUUGUACACACCGCCCGUCACACCAUGGGAGUGGGUUGCAAAAGAAGUAGGUAGCUUAACCUUCGGGAGGGCGCUUACCACUUUGUGAUUCAUGACUGGGGUGAAGUCGUAACAAGGUAACCGUAGGGGAACCUGCGGUUGGAUCACCUCCUU